rnacentral:lncRNA from 1 species
GGAACACAAAACCUCAGUGCUCUGUUGGCUAGAAGGCUAGAAGAUUGUGGUGAGACAGUCUGAGGCUUGUGGUUGAGUUUCAGAAAUGCCACAGUUACUGGGGCUGAAGAGGAAUAGGAUGACCAUUGGAGUGGGGGUGGCUGAGUUGGGGUGGAAGAAAGUUGGAGUUGGAGGUAGGGAGGGCAGGGAACUGGGAGAUCAGGGCGUUAGAUGUGGAGGCUCCAUGGAUGUUACUGUUUCUUAGAAUGAGGUCAUGAAUCGGAAACGAUGAGCCAACAAUUGGAAUCUUCAACAUGAGAGGGAAGAACAGGGAGGUCAGAAGAGGAGUAGUGGGUGCAGAUGGUAUGGUGAGAUGGGGUCAGUGUCACAGGAGCUGGGAUCUGGAAGGAAGGUGAAAGUGUAAAAAGGCUUGGGAAUGUCAGUGGAGGCUAAGGAAAACAGGUCUCUGAGCUCUGGAGGGGCAGAAAGCUGCCUCCACCCAGGAUGGCUUCAGGAGAUGAGCAGACUUCAGAGGGGGCCUAGGGCACACAGGCUGAGGGUGUGUGGGGGUUGUCAAGGUGGGUCUGAGGUGACAGAGGCCCAAUGGGAAGGCUUGAGGAGGAACAAAUAGCAAGGGUUUGGAUAAAGCUGGGCCCAGGAGUGAUCAGAGCAGGAAGACCCUUGAGGACACAUGUAAUGGCUGAAGUACGUCGGGGAUUAGCUAGUGGCUUGAGGAGAGCUCGGAGGAAAGAAAACAUCUCAAACUACCAUCUUGAAUCCCUGGUUGGCAGUUUGGGGUUCUGGGGCGACGAGAGCCUUAUCAGUCUAAAUAAAGGCAGAUGGUGGAUGUUGAGCUGGUUUUGAGGGAGGUUCCCUCAGUGGCUCCUGAGGGAAGUUUCCAGAGGGAGGCAGCAGUGAGGGCAGGACAACUGCCAGGAGACUGCUUCGGGCUUUCCUCAGUGGCAUGCACCAUGGAGGAUGGGGACCUCAGAGACCAUCUGGGCAUGCCUUCCUACUGCAGAGGAACCCAUGGAGCCCCCGACCCAGGAGGUGAUGGUACCAAUCCAACGUCACCCAGCACACUGGAGGCAAUGACAGCACUGGAGUUUCCGACAAGGCUCCUACCACCCUCUCCCCUCCUCCAAAUCUGAUUAGAGCUUCAUGUAUGAGGCCUACCUCCCCCCACAGGCUGUAGGUUUGGGCAGGCUGUGCUGGGCUCAUAGCACUUAGCACUCAGUAGAAGCUCAAUAAAUGUCUGAAUGGAUAAGGAGCCUGGCAAGCACUUGAGUUUG